AUUGAACGCUGGCGGCAGGCCUAACACAUGCAAGUCGAGCGGUAGAGAGAAGCUUGCUUCUCUUGAGAGCGGCGGACGGGUGAGUAAUGCCUAGGAAUCUGCCUGGUAGUGGGGGAUAACGUUCGGAAACGGACGCUAAUACCGCAUACGUCCUACGGGAGAAAGCAGGGGACCUUCGGGCCUUGCGCUAUCAGAUGAGCCUAGGUCGGAUUAGCUAGUUGGUGGGGUAAUGGCUCACCAAGGCGACGAUCCGUAACUGGUCUGAGAGGAUGAUCAGUCACACUGGAACUGAGACACGGUCCAGACUCCUACGGGAGGCAGCAGUGGGGAAUAUUGGACAAUGGGCGAAAGCCUGAUCCAGCCAUGCCGCGUGUGUGAAGAAGGUCUUCGGAUUGUAAAGCACUUUAAGUUGGGAGGAAGGGCAGUAAAUUAAUACUUUGCUGUUUCGACGUUACCGACAGAAUAAGCACCGGCUAACUCUGU
rnacentral:rRNA from 1 species